rnacentral:rRNA from 1 species
UUUCCUACGGGAGGCAGCAGUGGGGAAUAUUGGACAAUGGGCGAAAGCCUGAUCCAGCCAUGCCGCGUGUGUGAAGAAGGUCUUCGGAUUGUAAAGCACUUUAAGUUGGGAGGAAGGGCAGUAAGUUAAUACCUUGCUGUUUGACGUACCGACAGAAUAGCCCAUUUGCCC